AUGCCGCCGCCGGAGGCUGGUGAAGCCAAAGGGACCCGGCGCUGCCGCGCCCCGACCCCUCCCGGGAAGCCUCGCCGGCGACCCCGCGCGCCCACCUGCGGGCGCGGCGCCUCGCGAUCGCAGCCGCCCUCGCCCCUCUCCCCUCCCUCCCCUCCCUGCGGCGCGACCCCCCUGCGCGCAGCCCUGCCCUCCGCGAGCCCCCCGGGGAUGGCGAGCCGGGGGGCGCCGGGACGCCCCCGCGGCGCCCGCGCCGGGCCAGGACUCACUGCGGGGCGCUGCCAGCGGCUCCCAGCGCCGGUCGCUCCUCCUGCGCGGCGCCGCGGGCUCGGCUCCACCUCCCGCUCCGGCGGCCGCCGAGCCUCCGGGGACCCGCGGGCGGGGAGCGCAGGGCCGCCGCCAAGCCCGGAGCCGGGGCUGGGGCUGGCGGGGCGGCGAGCCACGGGCGGGGCGUGGGGCGCGCCGGCCCGAGCGGGUCCCCGCGCGCCGGGCGAGCCUGAGACCACCCCGCAGGUGGCGGAUCCGCGCGCGCCCGAGGCCCGAGAAGUUGCGGGAGGGGCGAGGACGAGGCGGCAGCCGGGCUCCGGCCGAGAGAGAGAGGGUCGGUAUCUCCUCGGCGAGGGUGGUCCUUCCUCUUUCCGGACCCCCUCCCUCCCAACGGUCUGGCCCCUCGCGGCUCUGGGCGGCCCUCUCAGCCCUGGGCCGACUCACUCACCAAAACUUUGCAGACGGCGCUGGGGAGAAUUAAUCCCGGAGUCGCCGUCUACGCGGCCCUGGGGGGUUAGGACGCCCGCCGGGGAGAGACCGUGUACUCGCCGCGCGCGAAGGUCGGAAAGCGGUGAGCCCCGAGCCCCGCCGCUGCGGGGAGUGAGGUCUGCAGGGACCCCUGACGGCCGCUGGGGGGCCGCGGAGGGAAGUGGCGGGGCGGAGUGGAAAGCAGGCAGGAGAGUGUUGAGAACGCCCCCGACGCACACACAUGCCUUCGGGGCCACGGGUGCCCAGCACUUGUAG
rnacentral:lncRNA from 1 species